GCCAGAGUUUGAGACUAGCCUAGGCAACAUAGUGAGACCCUGUCUCUACAAAAAAUUUAAAAAAAAAUUAGCUGGGGCAUGGUGGUACACACCUAUAGUCCCAGCUACUUGGGAGGCUGGAGCUGGAGGAUCUCUGGAUUAUAUGAAAUGUCCAGAAUAGACAGAGAGACAGAAAGUUGAUGAGUGGCUUUCAGGGGCUGAAGGGAAGUGGAGUGACUGCUAAUUGAUUCAGGGUUUCCUUCUGGGGUGAUUAAAUAUGUUCUCGAAUUAAAUAGGGGUGAUAUUGCAUAACCUUGUGAAUAUACUGAAAGUCACUAAAUUAUACACUUUAAAGAGGUAAAUUUUACGGUACUUGAAUUAUGUCUUUAAGAAAAAUCUCAAAAGAUUUUUUUCUCUAGAUCCCCUGGCUGGAACAAGUUCCUUAAAUUGUGAUUCAGCUCUUCACCUCUCUUGCCAUUGCCACAAAGCUAUUUAUUUCUUUUUCAAAAUGAAAUAUUUGACUAAGAAAAGUUGAGAUACCACAGAGAAAACGUUAGAUA
rnacentral:lncRNA from 1 species